rnacentral:rRNA from 1 species
GAUGAACGCUAGCGACAGGCUUAACACAUGCAAGUCGAGGGGCAGCAUAGAAGUAGCAAUACUUUGGUGGCGACCGGCGCACGGGUGAGUAACGCGUAUGCAACCUACCUAUCAGAGGGGAAUAACCCGGCGAAAGUCGGACUAAUACCGCAUAAAACAGGGGCACCGCAUGGUGAUAUUUGUUAAAGAAAUUCGCUGAUAGAUGGGCAUGCGUUCCAUUAGGUAGUUGGUGAGGUAACGGCUCACCAAGCCGACGAUGGAUAGGGGAACUGAGAGGUUGGUCCCCAACAAUGGUACUGAGACACGGACCAGACUCCUACGGGAGACAGCAGUGAGGAAUAUUGGUCAAUGGGCGAGAGCCUGAACCAGCCAAGUCGCGUGAAGGAAGAAGGAUCUAUGGUUCGUAAACUUCUUUUGCAGGGGAAUAAAGUGCAGGACGUGUCCUGUUUUGUAUGUACCCUGAGAAUAAGGAUCGGCUAACUCCGUGCCAGCAGCCGCCGUAA